GACGAACGCUGGCGGCGUGCUUAACACAUGCAAGUCGAACGGAAAGGCCCUGCUUGCAGGGUACUCGAGUGGCGAACGGGUGAGUAACACGUGGGUGAUCUGCCCUGCACUUCGGGAUAAGCCUGGGAAACUGGGUCUAAUACCGGAUAGGAGCCAUUUUUAGUGUGAUGGUUGGAAAGUUUUUUCGGUGUAGGAUGAGCUCGCGGCCUAUCAGCUUGUUGGUGGGGUAAUGGCCUACCAAGGCGGCGACGGGUAGCCGGCCUGAGGGGGUGGACGGCCACAUUGGGACUGAGAUACGGCCCAGACUCCUACGGGAGGCAGCAGUGGGGAAUAUUGCACAAUGGGCGCAAGCCUGAUGCAGCGACGCCGCGGGGGGGAUGACGGCCUUCGGGUUGGAAACUCCUUUCGCUAGGGACGAAGCUUUUUGUGACGGUACCUAGAUAAGAAGCACCGGCUAACUACGUG
rnacentral:rRNA from 1 species